rnacentral:rRNA from 1 species
GACGAACGCUGGCGGCGUGCCUAAUACAUGCAAGUCGAACGCUUCUUUCCUCCCGAGUGCUUGCACUCAAUUGGAAAGAGGAGUUGCGGACGGGUGAGUAACACGUGGGUAACCUACCCAUCAGAGGGGGAUAACACUUGGAAACAGGUGCUAAUACCGCAUAACAGUUUAUGCCGCAUGGCAUAAGAGUGAAAGGCGCUUUCGGGUGUCGCUGAUGGAUGGACCCGCGGUGCAUUAGCUAGUUGGUGAGGUAACGGCUCACCAAGGCCACGAUGCAUAGCCGACCUGAGAGGGUGAUCGGCCACACUGGAACUGAGACACGGCCCAGACUCCUACGGGAGGCAGCAGUAGGGAAUCUUCGGCAAUGGACGAAAGUCUGACCGAGCAACGCCGCGUGAGUGAAGAAGGUUUUCGGAUCGUAAAACUCUGUUGUUAGAGAAGAACAAGGACGUUAGUAACUGAACGUCCCCUGACGGUAUCUAACCAGAAAGCCACGGCUAACUACGUG